rnacentral:misc_RNA from 1 species
AUAUGAUAGAGGUAACAAACGAACCGAGUAAUACGAGGUGAUCAUGUCAAAGAAGCAACACAUAUAGAACGUCAUCCAGUUCAGCAGUUGUAAAAUGUACGCCCAGUUCUGGAGAUUUUUGUACAUCCAGCUGGUGGAAAACCAUACAGAAGGAAAAGAGAUUAGGAUACUGUUUACGAAACACGAGUUUGCUUUAUUUUUUGGUCUUUUAAGGAGUUCGCUAAUAAGGAGAUACUUCAAUCCUGUACUUCUUCCGUCUUCUUGUCCUUUGACAUUAGGUACCAACCCAAAGCACCAACACCAGUGAUCAGUCCAGCUAGAACACCAUAGUUGCGGUAUUUGUCAUCUGAUACUCUGGAUGUUGAAGAGGCCUGGGCACUCGAUGCAGCAUCAGGUACUGACCCUGAGCCACCUGCAGCUUGUUCUCCUGGCUUGGGACCCUGGCGAGCAAGCUUCUCCAGCUUCUCUUUCUCCAUUUUCUUGAUGUAGACAUUUUCAGCAGCUUUUUCCUCCUCACUUAAUACCUUGCCACUGCUAGAGAGCCUACGAGAAACAUAUCUGAAAGCAUUUCUGGCUGCCAUCUCAAAUUUCUUCUCAAAUAUUCCUCUGUUGUUUCGGUGUGUGAAUCACA